GUUAUUGUUAUCAUAGUGCAAUAAUUGAUUUGAAUCCAGACGCUACAAUAGUAAUGUCGUUAAAGUUGCCCCAAUAAAGGUAUUCUUUGAAAAAUUGUCAAUAAGAUAAUGUAAAGAUUCUUUUUAAACAGGGGUUCAUACAGGGAUGGUGCAUAGGUUAACAGUAUAAAUCACUAGUUAUGUAGUUAUUGAUUGAAACUGAAAUAUUGAGGAGGGGGGCCUCGCGGGUAUAAAGCGAUUUCAACUCACGAUCUACUUUCGAAAGAAGAAUGCAU
rnacentral:lncRNA from 1 species